rnacentral:rRNA from 1 species
CCCUAAAAAACCGAAUCUCAUUCGGAUUGAAGUCUGAAAUUCGACUUCAUGAAGCUGGAAUUGCUAGUAAUGGCAGGUCAGCAUACUGCCGUGAAUACGUUCCCGGGCCUUGUACACACCGCCCGUCACACCAUGAGAGUUGGGAAUACCCGAAGCCUGUGAGCUAACUGUAAAGAGGCAGCAGUCGAAGGUAGAAUCAAUGAUUGGGGUGAAGUCGUAACAAGGUAAC